CCAAGGCGCAGCGUGUAAAGUGCUCAUAUAUUACUUUAAUGAAACACUAAAUCAAAACAACAAAACGACCGUCAACAGUUCCGUCAGGUUACAAGGAACAAAACAGAAAACAACUACCCACAAAACCCAAAGGAAAGACAGGCUGCCUAAGUAUGGUUCCUAAUCAGAGACAAGGAUAGACAGCUGCCUCUGGUUAGGAACCAUACUCGGCCCAACACAAAGAAAUUCAAAACAUAUAAUGCCCACCCCACACCCUGACCUAACCACAUAGAGAAACAAACCCUCUCUCUCAGGUCAGGGCGUAACAGCAUGACUGUGACGAUUACCAGGGAAGGGGCUGCGACAUGAUUGACACAUCCAGCGUCCACCGCCUUCCCUCCUCCAUGCUGCUCAAAGUAGGAUGUUACCAUUAGGGUGCAGUUUCUUUUUGGAGGCCUGAUUAGAUGCUUUCAAAAUCCUUUUAGUCUAAAAACACAAUUGAAAUGGGUUGGAUGUGGGUGGAUGCACAAUCUGUAAAUGUUAUUGUGUGUUCUGUUCCUCUCAGCUGUUCUCCCACUUGUCGGUGAAGGAGCGCUGUCUGUGUGCCUUGCUGGUCUGUAAGUACUGGCGGGGACCUCUGCUUAGACUUCCAGUUCUGGAAGCAAGUCGUUCUCAGUGGCCUACAAUGAGUGAGUAGAAUAUUUGAGAAUUUUUUUUAAGGUAACAUUUAAUUUUCAAGAGAAUGUUUGUAAACCUCUUUUCUUCUUUUUGUAAUGUUCAUGUAUUUUAUAAAAAGUGUAUUAUUUGAAUAUAAGGACCACUUUCUCAUCAAACCUUACCUUGAGCCAUAAUAUCUCUCUCUCUCUCACCCUCAGGUAAAUGAUGACCUCCUGGUGAAGAUAGCAUCUCGGAAGCAGAAUGUGACGGAGUUGACCAUCUCAGACUGUUGUGGCGUGCAGGACCAAGGUGUACGUUCCUUGGCAACCCACUGCUCCAGCCUUCAGAGGUACACUGUAAACAGCUGAGUGACCUGUCUCUCAGCACCCUGGGCUCACACUGCCCUCUGCUGGCCAAGGUCCAUGUGGGCAACCAGGACAAUCUGACGGACGAAGCACUCAAAGUUGGGAGAGCACUGUUCAAAGCUGAAGGAUAUCCACCUGGGCCAGUGCUACAGUAUAACUGAUGAGGGGAUGGUGUCUCUGGCCAAGGGAUGUCCCAAGCUGCAGAGAAUCUACAUGCAGGAGAACAAAAUGGUGAGUUCCCUACCCAGAACUUAGGCGACAUCAGUGUUCAGUUG
rnacentral:lncRNA from 1 species